AUUGAACGCUGGCGGCAUGCCUUACACAUGCAAGUCGAACGGUAACAGGUUAAGCUGACGAGUGUCGAACGGGUGAGUAAUGUAUCGGAACGUGCUCAGUCGUGGGGGAUAACUGCUCGAAAGAGCAGCUAAUACCGCAUACGACCUGAGGGUGAAAGCGGGGGAUCGCAAGACCUCGCGCGAUUGGAGCGUCCGAUAUCAGAUUAGGUAGUUGGUGAGGUAAAGGCUCACCAAGCCGACGAUCUGUAGCUGGUCUGAGAGCACGACCAGCCACACUGGGACUGAGACACGGCCCAGACUCCUACGGGAGGCAGCAGUGGGGAAUUUUGGACAAUGGGCGCAAGCCUGAUCCAGCCAUGCCGCGUGGGGGAAGAAGGCCUUCGGGUUGUAAACCGCUUUUGUCAGGGAAGAAAAGGUUCUGGCUAAUACCUGGGACUCAUGACGGUACCUGAAGAAUAAGCACCGGCUAACUACGUG
rnacentral:rRNA from 1 species